ensembl:snRNA U6 U6 spliceosomal RNA
GUGCUCACUUUGGCAGCACACUUAAUAAAAUUGGAACAAUAUAGAGAAGAUUAGCUUGGUCCUUGCGCAAGGAUGACUUACAAUUUGUGAAGCCUUCCAUAUUGAA